GCUUUUGGUUCAGUGUGGUAGAAUGCUCGCCUGCCACGCGGGCGCCCCGGGUUCGAUUCCCGGCCGAUGCA
rnacentral:tRNA from 1 species